rnacentral:rRNA from 1 species
GAUGAACGCUAGCGGGAGGCUUAACACAUGCAAGUCGAGGGGCAGCAUAGGGUAGCAAUACUCUGAUGGCGACCGGCAAACGGGUGAGUAACGCGUAUGCAACCUACCCUGUACAGGGGGAUAACCCGGAGAAAUUCGGACUAAUAUCCCGUAAUAAUAUCCGGAGGCAUCUUUGGAUAUUUAAAGUUCCGACGGUACGGGAUGGGCAUGCGUAACAUUAACUGGUUGGUAAGGUAACGGCUUACCAAGGCUAUGAUGUUUAGGGGUCCUGAGAGGGUGGUCCCCCACACUGGUACUGAGACACGGACCAGACUCCUACGGGAGGCAGCAGUGAGGAAUAUUGGUCGAUGGGCGCAAGCCUGAACCAGCCAUCCCGCGUGCAGGAAGACGGCCCUAUGAGUUGUAAACUGCUUUUCCAGGGAGAGAAACUUACGCACGUGUUGCGUGACUGACGGUACCCUGGGAAUAAGCAUCGGCUAACUCCGUG